UUAUUCUUUUGGCUCAUCUGGUGUGUCAGUGCGUCCUGCCUGCACCAUAAAACAGCUUUCGUCAGGGUAAGUAUUUGAGUGCGGGAGUUUAUACUAAAGCUACCCAUACAAAACCAUAAAUCCUGAUUGUUGGGUAUAAAAUACCCUCAUCCGAAGUUCUUAACAGGAUUGACCCUCCCAGGACUCCUCCGACUUUCGACCGUGGAUGGUAUCUCUCCGGACUUCUCCAAUAGCCGGAUUCCCACAGUGC
rnacentral:lncRNA from 1 species